rnacentral:rRNA from 1 species
CGGCAUGCCUUACACAUGCAAGUCGAACGGCAGCACGGGAGCAAUCCUGGUGGCGAGUGGCGAACGGGUGAGUAAUAUAUCGGAACGUGCCCAGUCGUGGGGGAUAACGUAGCGAAAGCUACGCUAAUACCGCAUACGAUCUAUGGAUGAAAGCGGGGGACUCGCAAGAGCCUCGCGCGAUUGGAGCGGCCGAUAUCAGAUUAGGUAGUUGGUGGGGUAAAGGCUCACCAAGCCAACGAUCUGUAGCUGGUCUGAGAGGACGACCAGCCACACUGGAACUGAGACACGGUCCAGACUCCUACGGGAGGCAGCAGUGGGGAAUUUUGGACAAUGGACGCAAGUCUGAUCCAGCCAUUCCGCGUGCAGGAUGAAGGCCCUCGGGUUGUAAACUGCUUUUGUACGGAACGAAAAGGUUUCUAUUAAUACUAGGUGCUCAUGACGGUACCGUAAGAAUAAGCACCGGCUAACUACGUG